AACAGGAUUAGAUACCCUGGUAGUCCACGCCGUAAACGAUGUCGACUUGGAGGCUGUUCCCUUGAGGAGUGGCUUCCGGAGCUAACGCGUUAAGUCGACCGCCUGGGGAGUACGGCCGCAAGGUUAAAACUCAAAUGAAUUGACGGGGGCCCGCACAAGCGGUGGAGCAUGUGGUUUAAUUCGAUGCAACGCGAAGAACCUUACCUGGCCUUGACAUCCACGGAACUUGGCAGAGAUGCCUUGGUGCCUUCGGGAACCGUGAGACAGGUGCUGCAUGGCUGUCGUCAGCUCGUGUUGUGAAAUGUUGGGUUAAGUCCCGCAACGAGCGCAACCCUUAUCCUUUGUUGCCAGCGAUUCGGUCGGGAACUCAAAGGAGACUGCCGGUGAUAAACCGGAGGAAGGUGGGGAUGACGUCAAGUCAUCAUGGCCCUUACGGCCAGGGCUACACACGUGCUACAAUGGCGCAUACAAAGAGAAGCGACCUCGCGAGAGCAAGCGGACCUCAUAAAGUGCGUCGUAGUCCGGAUCGGAGUCUGCAACUCGACUCCGUGAAGUCGGAAUCGCUAGUAAUCGUGGAUCAGAACGCCACGGUGAAUACGUUCCCGGGCCUUGUACACACCGCCCGUCACACCAUGGGAGUGGGUUGCAAAAGAAGUAGGUAGCUUAACCUUCGGGAGGGCGCUUACCACUUUGUGAUUCAUGACUGGGGUGAAGUCGUAACAAGGUAGC
rnacentral:rRNA from 1 species